UACGGAGGGUGCGAGCGUUGUCCGUAAUCACUUGGCGUAAAGGGUGCGUAGGCGGUUCAGUAAGUUGCUGGUGCAAUCCCGGGGCGCACCUCCGGGGCUGCCGGCAUGACUGCUGGACUUGAGCACGGUAGGGGCAGAUAGAAUUCCCGGUGUAGCGGUGGAAUGCGUAGAGAUCGGGAAGAAUACCAGUGGCGAAGGCAGCGACCUGGACAGAUAUUAACGCUGAGGUGCGAAAGCGUGGGGAGCAAACAGG
rnacentral:rRNA from 1 species